rnacentral:siRNA from 1 species
CCGCAGUUAAGCGUGCUUGGGC